rnacentral:rRNA from 1 species
UACAGAGGUCUCAAGCGUUGUUCGGAUUCAUUGGGCGUAAAGGGUGCGUAGGCGGCGCGGUAAGUCGGGUGUGAAAUCUCGGAGCUUAACUCCGAAACUGCAUUCGAUACUGCCGUGCUUGAGGACUGGAGAGGAGACUGGAAUUUACGGUGUAGCGGUGAAAUGCGUAGAUAUCGUAAGGGAAGACCAGUGGCGAAGGCGGGUCUCUGGACAGUUCCUGACGCUGAGGCACGAAGGUCAGGGGAGC